UACUAGUUGGUUACAGGGAAGAGUCCUAGUAGGAUUACAGAGGAAUCCUAGUAGGAGUCGGUCUUCUUCCUUUCUUGCGGGUACAUGGGAUCUAUUCCCGACGUGGGGUUCCCAUGGAUGACAACUCAGCAUGGGCUAUAAUAGGGGUCAUGCUCACAUCUAGAAUCAUGUACUAGGCUAUUUCCCUUUGUAUUCUAGAUAAUGAACUUUGUAUUCAGAUCUGAACUUUGUAUCCUGCUUUGACUAUGCAUGCAUUGGACAUGUUGUUGUGAUGAAUAAUUGUUUUUAUUUACAUAUACCUGAGGCAUCGGACAAAUUGUUGUGAUGGUUAAUUGGUUUUAUUUACAAAUACAUGAGGCAUUGUACAUUAUGCUGUGAUGAUAAUUGCUUUUAUUUACAUAUACCUGAGGCAUUGGACAUUAUGCUACGAUGAUUAAUUGCUUUUAUUUAUAUAUACCUGAGGCAAUGGGCAUUAUGCAAUGAUGAGUACUUUAUGCAUUAGAAGAUGGCACAAGAGAAUGUUUACUUUGACUUGGUUGAGGAGCUUGAGGCUGCCGAAGCUGCUGCCCAAGCUGCUAUCCAGCAUGCUGCUGGUGGCUAGGUUGUUGGUGCCGCUGGUAGCUAGGCUGCUGGUGGUGAUGGGUAGCAGCCUAGGGCUACAAUAAGGUGGACCAAUAUGAUGUCAGGAUUUGUGCUACGCCGCAUGUGCCAGCUGAUCUCCAUUGGAGUAAGAACGGACAAAGGUUUCAAAGAGGUGCACUUGAACAAAGUGGCCAAGGAUCUGCAUGAGUUUUCAGGCAAUGAGGUGACUGGCACCCAGGUUUACAACCAUCUGCGCAAGUGGAGGCAGAAAUGGAUCAGGGUGACUAAGCUUAGAGAACUUAGUGGUGCUUUGUAGGAUGAUGAUAACUUCAUGAUCACUUUGGAGGAGGAGUACUACUAAGGGCAUAUCAAGCACACCCCAAGGAUGCUGACUUAUUGAACAAGCCUAUUGAGAAUUACCAACAGAUGUAGAUCAUAUUUGGCAAUGGGUUGGCUACAGGCAAGUUUGCCAUGGGUCUGGUGAGGCUUUCGGUUCCCCUCUGACUUUGCUAAGAGCUCACUUAAGGUUGAGUCAGAUGCUAUGAAGGUUGAUGAUGUCCCUAAGCUGUUUGGAGAGGUACCCAAAGACUCAGGAUGCUGGUGCUGGGUCUGGUUCUGAUGCAGGCAACAAGAGGAAGAGAUGCAUGCUUAGUGAGAGGGACAUUGUUGUCAUGAUUGGCAUGACUGAUGCAGUGAACAAUGUUGCAAAUGCCAUUCUCCAUACCAAGGUUGAGGAUGUCCACCCUGAGCUGUAUGGUGAUGUCAUGUUCAUGCCUGGGUUCAUUGAGGAAGCAUUGAUGGCAGCCUAUUCUCACCUUCUUGACAACAAGGCUCAUGGUGCUGCAUUUGUGAAGAUGAAUGACUCUCACCGUGUGGUGUGGAUAAGGGUCUACUUGGCCAAGCACUACUAGGUGAUGGUCUAGUGCUGGUUGAUCCAACUUUUGUGCAAUGGGGUAGCUCCUCUCCUGGUGGCUUAUUUUGUGCAGUUACUGGCCUGUUGGUGCCUUCUCCUAGUGCAAUGAGGAUGAUAGGCUGAUGGUAGCUUCUUUUGAGCAUAGCACCUCCUGACUUGUGCAGUUAAUCUAAUCAUGCACUCACUUGUGCAGCUGAUCUAAUCCUGCAUUCUUUUGCGCAGCUAACUUGCUCCUCUCAUUUACUAACUAUUGCUUAUAGUUAGUAAUUGACUAUACAUGGCACUAUAGCUGCUUCUGUAUAAUCUACUGAACCUAGACUUGUAACUGAGGCGCAUGAGACACUUUCAUGGAUCAACCUUGAUGAUAGAUGUAAUAUCAUGACAAUCUAGUCAUGCAAC